UUUAGCUUUCCGAUCUUUUCACGGAAGGAUCUUUUCACGGACUGUUCUUCAUUCCACACUCCCCUGGUCACCUAACUCAGCUGGACUCCUAGGCCUCCUGGGCGUCCGAGCCCGGGGCCUCGUCCCAGGUUGGCCUCGCUCGCAUUCCUCAAAGGUACCAUUCGGGCUUGCCCCGCCUGGUGGUCGGGCGGGCGCCUGCGCUCGCUUCCCAGCAGCCGCUCAAGCCGGGGCUUUCGGAAUCAACCCCCGGGCGCAGAACUUUCCUGCUUCCCUCCUCCCCUCUCCUGGCUCUGGCUCCGAUUUUGCGCCCCGCACCUUUGACCACGCGAACAGACUGGCAUCUUCGAAGCCCUUUACUUUAGAGACAACUCCAACGAGUCGCACGCUCUGACUCCGGGAAGCCCGGGGCGCGCCGGCCCGUUGACACCUGGGCUGGCUGACCCUGGCGGCGGGGUGGCCCGCCCUGCCCUUCCCGUCCGCCCCGCCGCUUCCCAGAUAACCACUUUCCCUGCUCUGUUUACUGAGUAGUCUCUGCUUUCCCUACCGAUCUGAAAUGCCAUCCUGUCAUAUGCCAACAUUGUGUAUAAAUGUGGGCCUGCUCCUGGACUCUCUCCUCUGGUCACCCUGUGUACCCCGGUGCCUUUCCCAUUGUCUAAUCUACUGCAGCUUCAGGUAAUGUCCUGGCAAGAACAUCCGCUGCAAGGAUUAAAGAUGUGGUGAUCCUAAACAUCCUUGCCUCAUUCCAGGAUCUGGGGUGUCCUCUGGGAGCGGCCUUGUGAUCACUCAACACAGCUUGGCUAAAGGGUGAACACGUCUGUGAUGAAGCCAACUUGGAUAAGGAUCCUUUCAGUCCCGGGAAGCAGCGCUCUGAGAAUGGGUCAGACGUCCGCUGUUUGUGACUUUCAAUGUGGCUGUCCUUCUGGUAUUGUCUCUGCUCAUUUCCCUUGUGUCAGUUCUAGGCCUUCAAUAAAUCUUCCUGACCGUGCA